AACGAACGCUGGCGGCAGGCUUAACACAUGCAAGUCGAACGCCCCGCAAGGGGAGUGGCAGACGGGUGAGUAACGCGUGGGAAUCUACCUAGUUCUACGGAACAACACAGGGAAACUUGUGCUAAUACCGUAUACGCCCUACGGGGGAAAGAUUUAUCGGAAUUAGAUGAGCCCGCGUUGGAUUAGCUAGUUGGUGAGGUAAUGGCUCACCAAGGCGACGAUCCAUAGCUGGUCUGAGAGGAUGAUCAGCCACACUGGGACUGAGACACGGCCCAGACUCCUACGGGAGGCAGCAGUGGGGAAUAUUGGACAAUGGGCGAAAGCCUGAUCCAGCCAUGCCGCGUGAGUGAUGAAGGCCUUAGGGUUGUAAAGCUCUUUUAGAUGGGAAGAUAAUGACUGUACCAUCAGAAUAAGCCCCGGCUAAAUUCGUGCCAGCAGCCGCGGUAAAAC
rnacentral:rRNA from 1 species